GUGUAAAGAUCUGAUAGCUGCUUUUUGUUAAUUCAUUUAAGGACCUGGUAGCUUCUUUUGUGUUAUACUAGUUUCCCCUAUUUGAUCUGUGGGGUUGGCAUCUUGUUUAGGUAGCUGUUUUGGGUAAAAUCUGUCUUGUGUCACUUGCUGAUCUGUUUUCCACUCAUAAUUCCUGGGCUAUAGGGUCUUGAAGUAGAAGCAGACUUCAUGUUAACCAUCAACUCAUUUUCUGAAUUGUACCACUUCAGGCAAAUGUUAUCUUCCUGCUAGCUUCUGCUCUGGGACACCUGGGUGGCUUAGUUGGUUAAGUGUCAGACUUCAGCUCAGGUCAUGAUCUCCUGGUUUGUGGGUUCAAGCCCCGCAUCGGGCUCUGUGCUGACAGCUCAGAGCCUGGAGCCUGCUUCGGAUUCUGUGUCUCCCUCUCUCUCUGCUUCUCCCCCACUCAUGCUCUGUCUCUCUCUCUGUCUGUCUCUCAAAAAUAAAACAUUAAAAAAAUAAAAAAAAUCACUCUGCCCUUAUUUUUCUCUGUAUUGCAUUUAAAUGUAAGUUGCAGAUGGGUGAGGACAAUUCUCUUUUCUCCCAUCUCCUUCAAAAUGCAUCCCCUUGCAGUGCAAUUUGAUUGGCAUUUGUGCAGGAAGGUAUUAGCAACCUUUCAGAUAUGCCCUGCCCUAUUAGCAAGAAUAUACAGUGAUACAAAAAUGAAUUUGUCAAGAGUUUUAUGGCUUCAUGAUCUAUCGUACAAUAUUAAUCCUGCUGCAGUGUUAUUAAGUCAUUUUUCAUCUCCCCUCAAAUUAAUGUUGACGUUCUAUUACUGGAUUUGUUCUUGUCCCCAGAUUAAAACAUAAAGGAAAAAAAUCUUCCCUGCUACAAUAUUAAAAUUAAUUGUAGGGUAAGCAGUAUCUUGCUUGGUGAAGUAGAAUCUUUCUGGAAAAAUUAUAACAUGAAUUUAUUUCUCUGCUUUCUACUUGUUCUUGUACACAAAAAAGCACAAUUGGAAUAUACUUUUAAGAGUACAGAGAACAGAGCAAGGGAAGAGGGUAAAUUUAAAAUAUAUAAGGUUUUCCAAAAAGAGAAAUGAGAAAAUCAGGAGCUUGAGCCUGGGGGGACCCACACCUAGAGAGUGCUUCUAGCCUAUAGGCUGAUAGUAUUAGAUGGGUAGGUAGAAGAAUUAGGGCUGACUUAGGAUCCUAUUAUGUUCAUAGGAAUAACAUGUUUCUUCUAUUUUCAGAAAUUUAGGGGUACUUAAAGAUCAUAUGAUAAGGUCAUCACUUACAAAGGGUAGUGCCAAAAUCAGGAAUAAGAAGAGAGCUGUUACUAUUACUUAAGAAUUAAGACUAAAUGAUGCUCCUCUGUGAAUGUGUUUUUUCUUCUUAAAUCAUUUUCAUCCAUUUGAGAGCAGAUGUGAGUCUCAUGUCUGUGACUUCUGUAAUGAAAUCACAGGGUGUUUUGUUGACUUCUGGUCAUAGUUAGGUAAUCUGGUAUGUUAAUUGUUAAAGUAGAAGGAAUCCUACAGUAAUUAUUGAAACUGGGGGUAAAUUUACUUAAAAUGUUUAUUUAUAUUUUUGAAUGAAAGAAGUAAGUUGAAAUACAGUAUUUUAGUCUUAUAAAUCUGCAUUUACAUACAAAAUAUAACAUUUAUGUAUGGUAUAAAUUAUUUAUAGCAUUAUUUAAAUAUAAACACAUAUAACAUGAAUAAUAACUUUUUUCUUUGUAGAAAGGCAACAUGAGUUGUAUAAUAAAAAAUAUAGCCAAUUAUACAUUUUUGUAUUUGUAAAUGAUGUGUAAAUGGUGUAGCAACCUUUAAAAGGCUGAGUAUAGGGGGUAGGGAAAGGAAGUUUGAUAUUCAGUCUCUGGUAGGUUGGAAAAAUAAUCACUAUUUGUCAUUUGAGUACAGUGGAUAUUCAUAUUUUUAUAUUUUAAGUCAUUAUGAAAAAUAUACAAAAAUAAAGGAUAGUGAAAAAGGCUUUUAUGAAUUUUAAUUAGAUUUAAAUGUAGCACACUUUUUUAUCAUGUAAAUUUAGCCAUGUAAACAUCACAAAAGAUGAAAGAAUACAGUUACAUGUACUUUUUAGCAGAAUGGGGUGAUCUGUGUUCUUGUUGCAAAAGAUCAUGUGACAGAGUUCUUCCUAGUAAAUGACUAGAUGAGAAUACCAUAAUUUAUUUUUUACUUUUUAGAGAGAGAAUGAGAACAUGAGCAGGGGAGAGAGGUAGAGGGAGAGAAAGAAUUAAAAAAAAUUUUUUUUAAAUGUUUAUUUUUGAGAGAGGGAGGGAGCAGGGGAGGGGCAGAGAGAGAUACAGAAUCUGAAGCAGGCUCCAGGCUCUGAGCUGUCAGCACAGAGCCCAACAUGUGGCUUGAACCCACAAACCAUGAGAUCAUGACCUGAGUGGACACUUAGCUGACUGAGCCACCCAGGUGCCCCAAGAAUAUUCUGUUUUCUUUUUAACAUUAGAAAUACAUUCUUAACAGUCUAGAGUGCUUCUGUCUUUUUGCAAUCAUCUGAUUUGUCUAAUAAUUUUGAACCAUCUUUCUCUGUUAAUUUUCUUUGCCAUCUUUGGCAGAAAAUGAAAAAUUCUGAUUUCUCAGCUACAAUUAUUGGAAGGUAAAGCAGAUUACAAAGAUGGUAUCUUCAAGUCUUUAAUUUCUUCAUCUUUUUUUAAAAUUUAUUUAUUUAUUUUGAGAGAGAGAGAGAGCGAGCAAGCGAGCAUGCAGAAGCAGGGGAAAGGCAGAGAGAGAGAGGGAGAGAGAGAGAACCCCAAGCAGGCUCUGCACUGUCAGUAUGGAGCCCGAUGCUGGGGGCUUAGGAACUCACGAACGGGGAUAUGAUAUCAUGACUUGGGCUGAAAUCAAGAGUCGGGUGCUCUACCAACUGAGCCACCCAGGUGCCCUUUUAUUCCUUCUUGAAAGACGAUGCAAAUACUUUGUACAAUGCAAUGAGAAAAUGGAAGGGUAUGAUUGUUUCACUGUUGCAUCAUCCUUCAAUGUAGACAAUUCCCUUUUCCUUUUUUCUUAUUAUUGUAGCCUUUUUAAAAGCAUAGUUGGAUAUAAUUGAUAAAUAAUGGCAAGUAAUGAUAAAGUAACUCCCAGGAUGACGAAACUGCAAAAAUGUUUCAAGAUACAGAGAAAAUAAGAUCAUUAAACUUAUGUUAUGUGUUAGAUUUAUAAAACAGAUCCAGCAGACCAAUAUGGUAAUUGCAAGGUGGAGCAUGAAGUUUCUUACAUUGAGUCUGUGAAUAGAGGUCAAUAAAGAUGAAUCUUAAUUAGAACUAUUGAAAAAUAAGUUGGAUACUAAAUUGGGUCUGAUGAACUGAGGGUUAAAAGCUUUUAAGGUAAAGUGGUCUAGGUUUUCCCAUUGUAUAUAUGAGAAGUUGAAGUGUAUUAUUAAGUGGCACAACCAUCCAUUGCUUGGAAUGGAGGAUGAGAUGUGCUCAAUGCAGUCUUAGUUUCCACAUUCCCCCGGUUGGUGUCUGAGAGCACACUAAAGAUUUGAAUGCCAGUCAGCUUAUGGUCUCUUCUUUAGUUGAUGGUAGGAUGUAGAGAUUGCACUUUUUGGCAACCUUUAAAUUGUGUUUGAUUACAUAAUUUGAACAAAGCAGUGUCAUCCCGGAUACAAUGCUGAUGGUGAGUUUGCAGAAACUUUGACUUAAAGAAUGAUUUUAGGACAUCCUAGCGUUCAUUUGUGCAGCAUGAGUCCAGUGUGUGAGAGUGAGCUGAUCUUGCAGAGGGUAAGGCAGGGUUCAGUAAACCUGUCUAACACAGUGAGCUAGUUGUAGUUGCUGUCAGUGCAUCUCCCUUUUGAGUAUAUAAAAACCUGGGAUUUGGUCUGUUGGUUUUCAGAGAGGAUAUGUAUUCUGUGUUCUUGGAGCUGCUGCAGCAGUUACACUCUUCUUUUAACAUACUUUAGUGUGAAAACUGAAAAAAAUUUAAAAGAGUUUCAUUUGUAAUUAUUCAAUUAUGUAAGAUUUUUAGUACUUUGAUUUUAUUUCCCUCAGUUUCCUCUAGCUUAGUAAAUAAAGACCUGUAAGCUAAGCAAUGACUGUUGAGCACCAGGUAUGUUUGAGGCACUGGAGGAAUGUGAUAUUCAAGGGAAUCCUUUGGUGAAAGAAAAUUUUAAAAAUUUCUUUGUAAUGACACUAACUCAGUCUAGGAAAUACUUAUUUCUUAGGAACUUCAGUGACGCCAGGAAGAGGGAAGUCAUAGUUGGAAGAUACAUAAAUAUGAAUAUAACAGUCUUGGCCUGAAAAAACCUUAGACUUUAUUUGAAAUCCUUAUACUAACAUUUUAGUUUUCAAAGUUAAAAAAAAAAUCGUCAGUAAAGUUUAGGUCGGUGUUACCAUUUAAGUCAUUGGUAAUACCAACAGAGCAAGGCAUAAGCAAUUACAGAACAGGAAAGGGGAACAGAGAAAGGAGUAUUAAGAUGUAGAAGAGGUAAACGUUUAGGACAAGAGAGGCAGCUAUCUGUGAAAUUGUGAAGCUAUGUGAGAUUUGCUUUUUAUUCUUCUACUCUCUUUUAACAUCUGAAUUGUCUUGUAAUAUAAGGUCUGUCCAACCCAAAAGUCUUUAUUGAGUACUAAAGGCAUUGUGCUAAAGGCAUUAUGCUCAUAUCCCUAGAUGGAAAUUGAUUAACCUACUUUUCCAGGGGCAUGUGUGUUUUAAUAGGAAACACAAAGUAGACAUUGUCUAUAAAUGUGUUUAUUUUGGCCAUCAGUGUUUUAUUUAUUUUUUAUUUUUUAAAGUUGUUUUAAUGUUUAUUAUUGAGAGACAGAGAGAGAGACAGAACAUGAGCAUGGGAGGGGCAGAGACAGGAGGAGAUGCAGAAUCUGAAGCAGGCUCCGGGCUCUGAGCUGUCAGCACAGAGCCUGACACGGCGCUCGAACUCAAAAACAGCGAGAUCAUGACCUAAGCUGAAGCCGGACACUUAACCGACUGAGCCACCGAGGCACCCAGGCCUUCAGUGUUUUAAAACUAGGGGAGCUUUUUACAUAAAUUAUGAAUGUUUGGCUUCUCUUUACAAACUGUUUUUCUUACCUCUGUUUAAUUUUGGUGUGUUUCCAGCCUUCAGGUGUUGAGUAGAUGUUGCCCCUUUAGACUGACAGGCAUUCCUGAGUUUGUUACAGACUUAAAACUUCAUGUUGUUCUGAACCCAGCUUACUUUACUCACUUCUCUUACCUGCCCAAGUUCCCAUAGACAUUUCAGUUUGUAACCUUUGCCCUUGAACUCUGAUAAGAUUCAUCAACUAGGAGGGGACUUAACAGAUUUGAGGCUGGUGGCAAUCGUUGAAUAACAUUCUACGAUAGGCACCAAAAAUUGUACUUAGUAAGUUGCUUACUAGUGUCAUCUGCACAUAAGAAAUGCCUUACUUUGGGAAGUGAAGAAAUAACCACUAGUUUCUUUAAAUAACAUAGUUUCCUUAGAUAACAUAUAGUGGCUAGCCCCUUGUUGCGGGUUUUUAAUCCUUAGUUUAGUAUAUAAAAAUAAAUGUUAGUAAAACUCCCUGAGUCUUCUGUCCAGCUUUACAUUGACCCAGCUUCUUUUUUUUAAGCAUUUUGGCAAAUCACUUAGUUUUAUCAUUUAAAAUUAUCAUAAUUUAAGAAAGGGUAUAUAGCAAGAGAUGAAUCUUUGAAGAAAGCAGGAAUGUUAUAUUCAACCAUCCAUACAUACCCUGAAAGAAGGAUAUUUCCACUCGUUAUUUAUUCCUUUAUUAUAUGGUGAAAGGCAAACUUACUUCAUACCAUGUUAUUAAGAAGCCUAAGUCAUAACUAUGACUGUGAAAAAAGUUUUCAGAAUGUUUGCUAAAUGUUCUAAGCAUGGAGGGGAAUACAAAGGUGACUAAUAUAUGAUCUUAUUCAGAUAGCCUAUGGCUUACCAAUUUUAAAACUUAUUCCCGAAUGUAGGCCAGUGAUUUAUCUUGGAGAUCAGUGACCUUGGAAAAAUCUCUAAAAUAUUUAGAUUGGAGUAGGGUUUUACUUCGGAUCAGAUUAUGGCACCCGUUGACAAAGUUUGAAAUUUAACCUCAGUUUUAGGAGAUAAUGUAAAUACUCAGAACAAAUGUGGGGGAGUCGAAGUGAGGUAGGCCCCAUAUCUCCAAGCAUGAGAGAAAUUCAUUUCUGUGAUAUGCGGAGUCAGAGGUUACAGAUGAUGAUGUUCAGAGAGAUUGUUUCCUAGGUUUUGAAAAAAUGGUUUAGAGUUUUGAAUUUGUUCUAAAAGUCCUCCCAGUAACAAUAGCUAGCCUUUAAUUGGUAACACUGUUGUCAUAACUUUAGAAUCAAUAGGAAAUUAAUAGAAAAAAUAGAAUUCGCUUGUAUAGAGAUUUAGAAUAUCCUGGAAUACCUUAUUCUGAGAAAAAUGAGGAUACCUGUAUUUGUGUGUGGUAUUGGGACUACAAACCUAAACCUAUAAAACCUGAAGAAAUCAUAAGCAUUCUCAAUGCAGUAAUUGUCUGCUUUCAAAUGGUAGUUCGGUCACCUGCCUCAGACUUAGAAGAAUCUAACUCUUAACCCCUGUGUAAACACUACUGUCCUGAUGCAGAACUUCUGAAACCAUUUGCUUGUACUUUGUUGAAUCAGGGUUAAGAGGAGUGGAGAGAGAAGCAAGAGCCAGAUAGGUUUAGGUGACUUUCUGACUCUUCUCACUGGAAACUGGUAUGGAUCUGGUGACCCUAGGUCAUGAUUUCCUUGGUCUCAACUGCACUAUCUUUAUUAAAAAUUUUUUUUCAGUGUUUGUUUAUUUUUGAGAGAGAGACAGGGAGAGUGCUAGCGGGAGAGGGGCAGAAAGAGAGAGAAAGAGAGAGGGAGACACAGAACUUGAAGCAGGCAGCACAGAGCCCGUUGCGUGUGAGAUCAUGACUUGAGCCAAAUUCAGACGCCUAACAGACUAAGCCACCAAGGUGCCCCUCAACUUCUCUUUCUUUAAAAGGAAGUAUUAUUACUGUUGGACAUGCCUUCAAAAUGAAACUUCCUCUUUAAAAUAAUAUCUUUUAAUACAUUUAGUAUUUUCUGGGAAAAAAUUCUGAGUUUCUCAGGAAAGUCUUGGAACUGUUCUAGUUACUUGCAGGACGUUUUGAAAACUAUUGAUAAAGUUGUUGGAGUUGAGACACAAUAAAUACUGUGUAAGUUAGAUUUUUUUGGUAAAAUUUUUAAUGCUACGUUAGAAGUAAAAUGCUAAUUUUGCCAAUAAGUUGAAAAAAAAAAAGCAAAGUUUCCAUAGUAACGUUAUCUGUGCCCU